rnacentral:rRNA from 1 species
UACGUAGGGUGCAAGCGUUGUCCGGAAUUAUUGGGCGUAAAGAGCUCGUAGGCGGUUCGUCGCGUCGGCUGUGAAAUCCCGAGGCUCAACCUCGGGCUUGCAGUGGAUACGGGCAGACUAGAGUGCGGUAGGGGAGACUGAAAUUCCUGGUGUAGCGGUGGAAUGCGCAGAUAUCAGGAGGAACACCGAUGGCGAAGGCAGGUCUCUGGGCCGCAACUGACGCUGAGGAGCGAAAGCAUGGGGAGCGAACAGG